rnacentral:rRNA from 1 species
GCUCAGCCGUCCACAGACUAAGUGGUUGUGGGUAGGAGAACCCUAUCUAAGAUAUAGUCGGGCCUGAAGAGAGAUCUCCAGGGCUUCUGCGUCCGUAGGUGAACCUGCGGAAGGAUCAUUUA